rnacentral:misc_RNA from 1 species
AAAUGCGUUAAGUAAUGUGAAUUGCAGAAUUCAGUGAAUCAUCGAAUCUUUGAACGCACCUUGCGCUCCUUGGUAUUCCUUGGAGCAUGCCUGUUUGAGUAUCAUGAAAUCUUCAAAGUAAAUCUUUUGUUAACUCAAUUGGUUUCUACUUUGGUAUUGGAGGUCUUUGCAGCUUCACACCUGCUCCUCUUUGUUCAUUAGCUGGAUCUCAGUGUUAUGCUUGGUUCCACUCGGCGUGAUAAGUUAUCUAUCGCUGAGGACACUGUAAAAGGUGGCCAAGGUAAAUGCAGAUGAACCGCUUCUAAUAGUCCAUUGACUUGGACAAUACUUUUAUGAUCUGAUCUCAAAUCAGGUAGAACUACCCGCUGAACUUAAGC